GACGAACGCUGGCGGCGUGCUUAACACAUGCAAGUCGAACGGAAAGGCCCUGCUUUUGUGGGGUGCUCGAGUGGCGAACGGGUGAGUAACACGUGAGUAACCUGCCCUUGACUUUGGGAUAACUUCAGGAAACUGGGGCUAAUACCGGAUAGGAGCUCCUGCUGCAUGGUGGGGGUUGGACAGUUUCGGCGGUUGGGGAUGGACUCGCGGCUUAUCAGCUUGUUGGUGGGGUAGUGGCUUACCAAGGCAUUGACGGGUAGCCGGCCUGAGAGGGGGACCGGCCACAUGGGGACUGAGGGACGGCGCAGACGGGAACGGGGGGCAGCGGGGGGGAAUCUGGCACAAUGGGGGGGAGCCUGAGACAGAAACCCCGGGGGUGGGAAGACGGCUUUCGGGUGGUAAACCGCUUUCGCCUGAGACGAAGCGGGAGUGACGGUAAUGGGAAAAGAAGCACCGGCUAACUACGUG
rnacentral:rRNA from 1 species